rnacentral:rRNA from 1 species
ACUCAAAUGAAUAGACGGGGGCCCGCACAAGCGGCGGAGCAUGCGGAUUAAUUCGAUGCGACGCGAAGAACCUUACCUGGGUUUGACAUGGCCGUUAAAGCCGCAGAGAUGUGGUGUCCUUCGGGGGCGGUCACAGGUGGUGCAUGGCUGUCGUCAGCUCGUGUCGUGAGAUGUUGGGUUAAGUCCCGCAACGAGCGCAACCCUUGUUCGAUGUUGCCAGCGGGUUAUGCCGGGGACUCAUCGAAGACUGCCGGGGUCAACUCGGAGGAAGGUGGGGAUGACGUCAAGUCAUCAUGCCCCUUAUGUCCAGGGCUUCACGCAUGCUACAAUGGCCGGUACAGAGGGCUGCGAUACCGUGAGGUGGAGCGAAUCCCUAAAAGCCGGUCUCAGUUCGGAUCGGGGUCUGCAACUCGACCCCGUGAAGUCGGAGUCGCUAGUAAUCGCAGAUCAGCAACGCUGCGGUGAAUACGUUCCCGGGCCUUGUACACACCGCCCGU